rnacentral:rRNA from 1 species
CGGGGGAGCACUACAACGGGGUGGAGCCUGCGGUUUAAUUGGAUUCAACGCCGGAAAUCUCACCGGGGGCGACAGCAUGAUGAAGGCCAGGCUGAAGACCUUGCCUGAUCCGCUGAGAGGUGGUGCAUGGCCGUCGUCAGUUCGUACUGUGAAGCAUCCUGUUAAGUCAGGCAACGAGCGAGACCCACGCCCACAGUUGCCAGCGAGCCCUUCGGGGUGGCGGGUACUCUGUGGGGACCGCCGCUGCUAAAGCGGAGGAAGGAAUGGGCAACGGUAGGUCAGUAUGCCCCGAAUCUCCCGGGCUACACGCGGGCUACAAUGGUCGGUACAAUGGGUAUCUACCCCGAGAGGGGAUGGAAAUCUCCUAAAACCGGUCGUAGUUCGGAUUGAGGGCUGCAACUCGCCCUCAUGAAGCUGGAAUCCGUAGUAAUCGCGUUUCAACAGAACGCGGUGAAUACGUCCCUGCUCCUUGCACACACCGCCCGUCAAACCACCCGAGUAGGGUCUGGAUAAGGGUGCGCCAUGUUGACGCAUUCGAAUCUGGGCUUUGCAAGGGGGGUUAAGUCGUAACAAGGUAACCAAGGGCGAAU